UGGCCUGUUUCAGAGAUGACGUGGUC
rnacentral:piRNA from 1 species